rnacentral:rRNA from 1 species
CACUGCCGAGAAAAGCCUCUAGAUAGAAAAUAGGUGCCCGUACCGCAAACCGACACAGGUAGUCAAGAUGAGAAUUCUAAGGUGAGCGAGCGAACUCUCGUUAAGGAACUCGGCAAAAUGACCCCGUAACUUCGGGAGAAGGGGUGCUCUUUAGGGUUAACGCCCAGAAGAGCCGCAGUGAAUAGGCCCAAGCGACUGUUUAUCAAAAACACAGGUCUCUGCUAAACCGUAAGGUGAUGUAUAGGGGCUGACGCCUGCCCGGUGCUGGAAGGUUAAGAGGAGUGGUUAGCUUCUGCGAAGCUACGAAUCGAAGCCCCAGUAAACGGCGGCCGUAACUAUAACGGUCCUAAGGUAGCGAAAUUCCUUGUCGGGUAAGUUCCGACCCGCACGAAAGGCGUAACGAUUUGGGCACUGUCUCAACGAGAGACUCGGUGAAAUCAUAGUACCUGUGAAGAUGCAGGUUACCCGCGACAGGACGGAAAGACCCCGUGGAGCUUUACUGUAGCCUGAUAUUGAAAUUCGGCACAGCUUGUACAGGAUAGGUAGGAGCCUUUGAAACGUGAGCGCUAGCUUACGUGGAGGCGCUGGUGGGAUACUACCCUAGCUGUGUUGGCUUUCUAACCCGC